AUUGAACGCUGGCGGCAGGCCUAACACAUGCAAGUCGAACGGUAACAGGAAGAAGCUUGCUUCUUUGCUGACGAGUGGCGGACGGGUGAGUAAUGUCUGGGAAACUGCCUGAUGGAGGGGGAUAACUACUGGAAACGGUAGCUAAUACCGCAUAACGUCGCAAGACCAAAGAGGGGGACCUUCGGGCCUCUUGCCAUCGGAUGUGCCCAGAUGGGAUUAGCUAGUAGGUGGGGUAACGGCUCACCUAGGCGACGAUCCCUAGCUGGUCUGAGAGGAUGACCAGCCACACUGGAACUGAGACACGGUCCAGACUCCUGCGGGAGGCAGCAGUGGGGAAUAUUGCACAAUGGGCGCAAGCCUGAUGCAGCCAUGCCGCGUGUAUGAAGAAGGCCUUCGGGUUGUAAAGUACUUUCAGCGGGGAGGAAGGGAGUAAAGUUAAUACCUUGGCUCAUUGACGUUACCCGCAGAAGAAGCACCGGCUAACUCCGUG
rnacentral:rRNA from 1 species